rnacentral:rRNA from 1 species
AGUGAACGCUGGCGGUAGGCCUAACACAUGCAAGUCGAACGGCAGCACAGUAAGAGCUUGCUCUUACGGGUGGCGAGUGGCGGACGGGUGAGGAAUACAUCGGAAUCUACUUUUUCGUGGGGGAUAACGUAGGGAAACUUACGCUAAUACCGCAUACGACCUACGGGUGAAAGCAGGGGAUCUUCGGACCUUGCGCGAUUGAAUGAGCCGAUGUCGGAUUAGCUAGUUGGCGGGGUAAAGGCCCACCAAGGCGACGAUCCGUAGCUGGUCUGAGAGGAUGAUCAGCCACACUGGAACUGAGACACGGUCCAGACUCCUACGGGAGGCAGCAGUGAGGAAUAUUGGACAAUGGGCGAAAGCCUGAUCCAGCCAUACCGCGUGGGUGAAGAAGGCCUUCGGGUUGUAAAGCCCUUUUGUUGGGAAAGAAAAGCAGCAGGUUAAUACCCCGCUGUUCUGGCGGUACCCAAAGAAUAAGCACCGGCUAACUUCGUG